GACGUAGGGCGCGAGCGUUGUCCGGAUUUAUUGGGCGUAAAGAGCUCGUAGGCGGUCUGUCGCGUCUGCUGUGAAAACUCAGGGCUUAACCCUGAGCUUGCAGUGGGUACGGGCAGACUAGAGUGUGGUAGGGGAGACUGGAAUUCCUGGUGUAGCGGUGAAAUGCGCAGAUAUCAGGAGGAAUACCGAUGGCGAAGGCAGGUCUCUGGCUGACACUGACGCUCAUGCACGAAAGCGUGGGGAGCAACAGG
rnacentral:rRNA from 1 species